GGAGAGUUUCUGAAAAUGGGGAAUGCUGAAAGUGUGGACGGCCAGGGAGAUGCAAAGCCUCACGUCGUGCAGUUCAGAGUGCCGAUGCCCGACAGCGGAGAGCUGGAGGAGCGCUUUGCCCUGGUCUUGAGUUCCAUGAACCUGCCUCCAGACAAAGCCAGGCUCCUUCGGCAGUAUGACAGCGAGAAGAAGUGGGACCUCAUCUGUGACCAGGAGCGGUUUCAGGUGAAAAAUCCCCCUCACACCUACAUCGAGAAGCUGCGCGGAUACCUUGCUUCUGGAGUUGCUGGAAAGAAAUUUCGGCGACGAAUUCAUGAAUCUACAAAGGUGCUGCGUGAACUGGAGAUUUCCCUCAGGACCAAUCACAUUGGGUGGGUCAGGGAGUUCCUCAGUGACGAUAACCGGGGCCUGGACGUCCUCGUGGAGUACCUGUCCUUCGCCCAGAGUGCUGUCAUCCACAGUGAGUUAGCCAGUAAGAUCAUGAAGAACCCCCGGCAUGUAGCCCAAAAGGACGACGUGCACGUCUGCAUCAUGUGUCUGCGAGCCGUAAUGAACUACCAGUAUGGCUUUAACCUCGUCAUGUCCCACUCACGCGCUGUCAAUGAAAUCGCACUUAGUCUGAACAACAAGAACUCCAGAACAAAGGCUCUGGUGCUGGAACUCCUGGCUGCCGUGUGCCUGGUCAGAGGGGGUCACGAGAUCAUCCUGUCCGCCUUCGACCACUUCAAAGAGGUGUGCCGGGAGAAACAGCGCUUCGAGAAGCUCAUGGACUAUUUCCGCAGCGAGGAUGGAAACAUCGACUUCAUGGUGGCCUGCAUGCAGUUCAUCAACAUUGUGGUGCACUCCGUGGAGGACAUGAACUUCCGGGUGCACCUGCAGUAUGAGUUCACCAAACUGGGCCUGGACGAAUUUCUGGAGAAAUGCAGGAACACAGAGAGCGACAAGCUCUCGGUGCAGAUUCAAGCUUACCUGGAGAACAUGUUUGAUGUGGGAGGCUUACUGGAAGAUGCUGAGACCAAGAACGUGGCUCUUGAGAAGGUGGUGGACCUGCAGGAGCAGCUCUCCCAUGUGACAGAGAAGCUGCAAGAGGUGGAGAAUGAGACCAUCAUGAAGGUGGCAGACCUGGAGAAGCAGCUCCUCCAGAAAGACAAAGAUCUGUCUUCCGUCAAGGAGACGUGUGAGGCGGCGAGUUCCCAGGUCACCACGCUGAGACGCAUGAUUGAGGAGCAGGACGUCGCCUUCCAGCAGGCCAAUGUGGAGAAGAGCCUACAGGAGAGUGGGCAGCUUAGGACGCUCCACCUGUGCCCACAGCCACAGGGAAAUGCCCCCGAAUGUGCCCCAGCGGGAGGGAGUGACGACCUCAGAGGGGGUGCGGAGCCCAGGGCUCCAGGGAGCAACUGCCCCACCACUGUGGAACCACAGCCUCAAGCUCCACCCCCACCACCACCUCCUCCACCACCUCCACCCUUACCUUCCACCUCAGGGGAGGGUCCCAUGAUUUUGGGUCCUCCACCACCAGCGCCGCCACUACCGGGAACAUCACCCUCCGUCAUCCUCAGUGCCGGCCUAUCAGCCAUUCGAAUCAAGAAACCCAUCAAGACUAAAUUCCGACUUCCUGUGUUCAACUGGACGGCUCUCAAGCCCCAUCAGAUCAAGGGCACCGUGUUUAAUGAGAUUGAUGAUGAGCGAGUUCUGGAGGAGCUGGACCUGAACAGGUUUGAAGAGCUUUUUAAAACCAAAGCACAAGGCCCCAUGAUGGACCUUACCUGUCCCAAGGGCAAGGUGUCCCAGAAAGCUGCCAACAAAGUUACGCUUCUAGAUGUCAACCGCUCCAAGAACUUAGCGAUCACACUGCGCAAAGCUGGCAAAAGCACAGAGGAGAUCUGUAAGGCAGUCCAGCUGUUUGACCUGAAGGCCCUGCCGGUAGAUUUGGUGGAGUGCUUAAUGCGGAUUCUGCCCACGGAGGCAGAGAGCAAGCUGCUCCGGCAGUACGAGCGUGAGAGACGUUCCCUGGAUCAGCUGGCCGAGGAGGACCGCUUCAUGUUGCACAUCGGCAAGAUCGAGAGGCUCACUCAGAGGAUGAACAUGAUGGCGUUCAUGGGCAACUUCGACGACAACUUCAACAUGCUAAUGCCGCAACUCAAUGCCAUAAUCGCAGCAUCUGCGUCGAUGAAAUCAUCCCCGAAGUUGAAGAGAAUGCUAGAGAUUAUUUUAGCCCUGGGGAACUACAUGAACAGUGGGAAAAGAGGCUCGGUGUAUGGGUUCAAACUGCAGAGCCUGGAUUUGCUGUUGGACACAAAAUCCACGGACAGGAAGAUGACUCUUCUUCACUACAUUGCUCUCAUCGUGAAGGAGAAGUACCCUGAGCUGGCCGUUUUCCCCAGUGAGCUACACUUUGUGGACAAAGCAGCCAGUGUUUCCCUGGAGAAUGUGCUGCUGGACGUGCGGGAGCUGGCUAAAGGCAUGGAGAUGAUCCGUAAAGAGAGCAGCCUUCAUGACCAUGCGGUGCUCAAGAACUUCCUACAGAUCAAUGAAGGACGGAUGGAGAAACUGCAGAAGGAUGCUAAGAUGGCGGAGGAGGCCUUUGGCAGUGUGGUUCACUACUUUGGGGAGAACCCGAAGACUACCCCUCCCUCCGUUUUCUUCCCUGUGUUUGUACGCUUCAUUAAGGCUUACAAGGAUGCAGUAGAAGACAACGAGCAAAGGAAGAAGCAGGAGGAGGCUCUACGAGUGAAGCUUCUAGCUCAGGAGACCCAGGAACAGGAGACCAAAGUACAGGCUCAGAAGAAGAGGCAGCAGCAGCAGGACCUAAUCGUAGAGCUUCGCAGAAGACAGGCCAGGGACCACAGGCCCAUGUACGAGGGCAAAGACGGGACCAUCGAGGACAUCAUCACAGUGUUGAAGAGUGUCCCCUUUACAGCCCGAACUGCCAAGCGGGGUUUGCGUUUCUUCUGUGACGACAGCGCCUGAUAAUCCUGCCCCUCCCCCCAGGCCCAUGGCAGCCUACCCAGUCCCAGUCAAGAUCUCAGGAGCCAGCCCUUCCGGCGGGCUGACGCCGUCAUCAGGAGUGGCUGGAAACGUCCUUAAAACCCCCUGCAUCGGGCUCAAGGCCCCACCCCAAAGGGACCCAUCCUCCUGCCUAGUCGGAACGUGUCUGUUAGUCCAGUUUCCGGACACUCUGGCCCACAUGCAGAGUGAAGCGGAUGGGACUGAGACUGAGACUGAACCAGAACACAGACCACGAUGGACUAUUGGUUUUGUAUUAACAUGUGACUCGAUGAUGUUUUCCGCGUGCAAUGGAAAGCAAGCUUAACCCUGAAAUGGCUGCACGGGCAUGCUGCGAUGCUGCGAUGCUGCGCCGCUGCGAUGCGGUUUGUGCGGAGGACACGCACUGCUCUCCCAAUGCUAUGUUCCUGCAGACUGCGCUGCACAACUUCAGAGAUUCUCCUCUUUCACCGACGUGCCACCUUCUUGCAUUUCCCGCAAGGCAAGCACCUUGACAAGUACUGCCAAAGUUGUGUUUCCAUCUAGAAUCUUCUGAAGCAAUAUUUUCGUACUCCUUUUGUUUAACAUGUCCUAAAAUAUUUAAUACUGUAAAAAUAGAAUGGUGAGCAUAUUCUGGCUUUAAAAAUCACAAAACGGUUAUUUAAGAAGGUAAGUGAAACUGUUAUUGUGGAAGACCUUGAGAAUGGGGUCGAGGACACAUGAUUUUACGAGGAACAUUCCAUCAGGUCGGUCUGCGCAUUCCUCUGCUAUAACAUGGGAUGCACUAAACUGGACGGCAAAACCUGGUAACAAAAUGUCAGUCACACUUUGUUGGAGGAGAUAUAAGCACAUGCUUACUUAAUGCAUUAACUAACCAGUAACUAAGUGUUAGUUAUGUACAGAUCCCGUGCAUGUUCAUCAUUAAUCAAUCAUGAGGGUUCAUUCAUCCCAUUCAGGAACUAUAUUAAUUAACAGCUAACUCCACUCAGUUAAUGGCUAAUUAAUGCAUCAAGUGAGUGUGUUUUGCUAAAGUAUUUGUGUCCCCUCAAGUAAAAUGUUACCAGAAUGUCUUCAUGUGUAGAAGUGGACCAGGACAGACCACUGGACGCUUGGUCAUGUUGGCAAGUUGUUUUUUCCACAGCUAUCCUGUCUUUAGCUGGAUUCUGGGACUUCAUGCCGACACACUUGCUCUAAUGCUUUGCGAGUCCAUUUUAAACACGGGGCUCCUUGUGCGCAGAGUCCUGGAGCCAGAGGCCGACUGUUCACACAGUGUCCCCGUGCUUCACAGCAGGGAAGGGAGCCACUGCUUCACUGCAGAUGAUCAUAAGCACUGCAUUCAGGGAGGAAUCACAGCUUUUGCAUUUAAAGGGAAAGGGGAGCAUUUUACCGGUGUAAAAGUUCUUGUACAAUGGACUGCCCCCCCCACCCCCCCAAUAAAAACUUAAGGCUUGCACAUCACCAUGUUUGCCUCCCAGGAGGACUUCCUCCCCGAGUGUAUUUUUUGUCUAAGCACACAGUUGUAGUCUGCUCAUGGUCCAGAGAUGUGCAGUUUCAGUGUGUCUGUAAACAGCCCUUAGUGUGACUGUGUCAUGUUUGGGGACCAAACCUCCUCACUCUUGGGGACGUUUUUCAGGUCCACAUUUGGAAAUCCUCAGUUUUAUAAAUAUCUGUGAGUGCAAUAAAAAAAAGUAAAAAUGUCAAAA